UCUUCCACAAUGGACGCAAGUCUGAUGGAGCAACGCCGCGUGAGUGAAGAAGGCUUCCGGGUNGUAAAACUCUGUUAUUGAAGAANNCCNNNUNUGAGAGUAACUGCUCAUGCAGUGACGGUAUUCAACCNNNANGNCACGGCUAACUACGUGCCAGCAGCCGCGGUAAUACGUAGGUGGCAAGCGUUGUCCGGAUUUAUUGGGCGUAAAGCGAGUGCAGGCGGUUUUUUAAGUCUGAUGUGAAAGCCUUCGACUUAACCGAAGAAGUGCAUCGGAAACUGGGAAACUUGAGUGCAGAAGAGGAGAGUGGAACUCCAUGUGUAGCGGUGAAAUGCGUAGAUAUAUGGAAGAACACCAGUGGCGAAGGCGGCUCUCUGGUCUGUAACUGACGCUGAGGCUCGAAAGCGUGGGUAGCAAACAGG
rnacentral:rRNA from 1 species